ensembl:lncRNA
AGGAAGAGGACAUUGGCAAACCACUGUCCCCACAGGAAGAGGACAUUUUAAAACCACUGUCCCCACAGGAAGAGGACAUUUUAAAACCACUGUCCCCAGCAGAAGAAAACCCUGUCCCGUGCGGCCCCACUGACUCGUCACAGCUGGAGCACCACGGGAUUGGGAAGGAGCCGGACGUGGAGUCUCAGCUGGAGCACCCACAGAGGCGGCCCAGGAGUGGCGUGUUUGGAGGGAUGAAAAGAAUAAGGAACUGGUUCCGCGAGCCAAGAGACGAGGCAGCGGAACGGGAACACCAGAGGAGGCAGAUGUACGUGGAGAAGUGGCUGGAAGACCAUUUGUCCUGCAAUUACAACAUCAACGAAGAGAGGAGGCAGAAGGGUGAAGAGCUGGCGCGACAGAAAGCCGAGCAAAUGGAACGGGAGUACAGGGAGAAGUACGAGGGCAGAGACGACUGGAUUGAAGAGUUUUUGCUCCGCAGUCCUUACUGCCCAGUCCCCAGAAAGCCAGAGCAGGAGAGGGACAGGCCCCAAGAGCCGGCCCAGGGGGAGGAGUCCAAGAGCCAAGGACUCGCCCAAGAGAAAGCAGACCAAGAGGAACAGCCAUGCCAAGGGCCAGAGGAGAACGACCAGGCCAAGGAGCUUUCUCAAGGGCAAGACAACGGAGUCCAAGGGCUGUCCCAAGGGCACGAUGACAAACCCUUGGGCCCGGGCAGCGACGACGACCCCCUGGAGGGGCCCAGCUCUCUCUACAUCCCGAGCAAGUCCCAGCGGCCUCUCUCUUCCAAACAACCAAAGGCAGACACUUCUCCAUCCACCAGUGAGGAGCAGACCCCAGCAGCAUCCCGCAGCUCCUCCCAGGGCAGCCAAGUUCUGCAGGACACAGUCCAGCCCCUCAUCCACGACAUCCUGAGCAAGGCUGUGCUGGAGGUGGACACUUUAUCCAUCACUGAGUCCUACACCCCAGCAGGGUCCCGGAACCCCUCCCAGGGCAGCCAAGCUCUGUGGGACACAGCUCAGAAAUUAAUCCAGCACUUCCUGAGCAAGGCUGCGCUGGAGGUGCAGGGGUGCCCCCAGCAGCCAGAGGAGCAGCACAAGCUGGGACAAAGCCCGGCUGCAGACGUGGCACCAGCAGUUGCAGCCCAGGCCGUGUCCCCAGGGGCAGAGGGCAGUGAAGCCCCCAGGGCUGUCCCCGGGAAACGUCCCUCCCUGUUGAGGCGCACGCUCCGCGCUGUGCACAGGCUG